CCUACGGGAGGCAGCAGUGAGGAAUAUUGGUCAAUGGACGAGAGUCUGAACCAGCCAAGUAGCGUGAAGGAUGACUGCCCUAUGGGUUGUAAACUUCUUUUAUAAAGGAAUAAAACGAGGCACGUGUGCCUUUUUGCAUGUACUUUAUGAAUAAGGAUCGGCUAACUCCGUGCCAGCAGCCGCGGUAAUACGGAGGAUCCGAGCGUUAUCCGGAUUUAUUGGGUUUAAAGGGAGCGUAGAUGGGUUGUUAAGUCAGUUGUGAAAGUUUGCGGCUCAACCGUAAAAUUGCAAUUGAUACUGGCAGUCGUGAGUACAGUUGAGGUAGGCGGAAUUCGUGGGGUAGCGGUGAAAUGCUUAGAUAUCACGAAGAACCCCGAUUGCGAAGGCAGCUUACUAAACUGUGACUGACAUUGAUGCUCGAAAGUGUGGGUAUCAAACAGGAUUAGAUACCCCUAGUAGUC
rnacentral:rRNA from 1 species